AUUGAACGCUGGCGGCAGGCCUAACACAUGCAAGUCGAGCGGAGCGGCGGACGGGUGAGUAAUUCCUAGGAAUCUGCCUGGUAGUGGGGGAGAACGUCCGGAAACGGGCGCUAAUACCGCAUACUAUCAGAUGAGUCUAGGUCGGAUUGGUUAGCUGGUGGGGGAAAGGCCUACCAAGGCGACGAUCCGUAGCUGGUCGGAGAGGAUGAUCAGUCACACUGGAACUGAGACACGGCCCAGACUCCUACGGGAGGCAGCAGUGGGGAAUAUUGGACAAUGGGCGAAAGCCUGAUCCAGCCAUGCCGCGUGUGUGAAGAAGGUCUUCGGAUUGUAAAGCACUUUCAGUUGGGAGGCGUUACCAACAGAAUAAGCACCGGCUAACUCCGUGCCAGCCGCCGCGGUAAUUC
rnacentral:rRNA from 1 species